rnacentral:lncRNA from 1 species
GGGCCAGGGGGUCUGCUUAUAUAGUCCUCCUCCUCUGUGCAUUUUUGGUUCAACAGGCGAUGUGGUACUAAACUUUCCACCAUAUCUCAUUAAAAUGCACAUAUGCCUUAAUGGACCAAAAUCUGAUUUGGGCCCAAUUAAUCCCGCAGCUCUUUUAUAUGGAGUCCUUCUUUUAUUAAUAUCUCUUGAUUCCGAACUCCAAAUAUAGCAAAUAAUAUAUGCAUUUCGAUGAGCUCGACGAGAUCUUUGUAACGGUAUACUCCAUUCUGUGAUUGGUGCUUGUACCAGGGCGGUUGCCCAAGGGGAGAGGGCGGGCGCCCUGCCCCCGGGCCCGUUCGGCCUCCCGUUCGUUCCUGUGGCUUCUGGACUCUUCUAGAUGAUAGAAAAUUACGCGGCACAUUAAUAUCCCUAUGUAAACCCGACGUGUGGACCUUUCCUCCAUAUUUUCUGAUAACCCCCUACUGAAAUAGACAAACACCAAAACAUUUGGAAUUCUGUCAGAUAAAACCCUAAGUCUAGGUGUUGGUUGUAUUUGGAUCCUUUUAUUUAUUUAGUUGAUAAUUAUAUUUGGUACUUAAGGACCGUCAACAACUCCCCCAAGCUUACCUCUUGCUCGUCCCUGAGCAAGGAUGGACUUAAGAGUUUCUGCAGUGGUUUCAUGCCUUAAAAGUAAGAUCUCAUCUCUGAGUUAGAGUAAACUUGUUUAGACUUAAAACUUACUCAUUUUACCUUUCACCAUGGGGCUUGUAACCGUCACUUGUGUCUUGAGUAGUUAAAAGAUAGAACGGUCAAGUCAAGUGCCAUGUCUCUUAUUCUUGAUCGGCUAUAGCUCUGGAGUUUUUGUAGAUUUUCAAAUAAAACUCAGAGAUUCCUUGUAUGACUCUCUCCAAUCUCUCUUUUGUGGUAUUUCUGGAUCCUUUCCACGGCAGUAAUGGUAUAUGCCUUCUCUCAAAGUAUGUGGUAUUUUUGGUAUAAGGCAUAGUGAUAUUCCCUUCUCUCUCACCCUACUCUAAUAAGGUUUUGAUAUCUGGAGCUCAUAGGUGAGAGACAGCUAAUACAUACUUACAGGACAUUUAUUGCAUAGUCAAACCAUGGAUCCAGAGAAACAAGUCAAUAAGUCAAAUCAAGAUGUGCAUGUGUGGCGAGUGAAUGGUGUAUGGUGAUGAUGGUGAAAGUCUAAUUCUACUUUUGCUCUUUUGAGGGGAUACAUACCUUUCUUGCACUUUGAAGCUUUUUGAGGAAAAUAGAUGCUCUAUAUUUUCUUUUUCUUUCCUCUCAGGUGGGUAUUUUGUACCCCUAAUUCUACUUUCGGACACUUGUCCAUUUUUACCUCUCGUAUCACUUUUUCUUUUCUUCGAGGUUCCGGGCACUUGCCCCUUUUUAUUUCCUCGUAUUUUUUUUCUCACUUUUUUUUCUCCUUUUUUAGAGCACUCAUCUCCUGAAAUAAUAUAGCAAGUGGUAGUAACCAAAAUAACUGGAGCAUUUAUUUCACAGGGAUAGGAAAAUAUUUUUGGCUAUUCUCUCCCGUAUUAGGAGUAGAAUAACUUUGGGUGAAUCUGGAGAUGGAAAUGAGUGGAUGUAUGUGGAUGCGUACUUUCUUAGUAGAAGCAACAUGUAUGAGUGAACGUGCAAGUGAAUCUUGAUUUUAACCGCAUGACAAGCUCCUAAGGGUCUACACAGCUUGACCACACUCAAUGCUCAUAAGCAGUAAAAAGUAAAUGUGUGGCUCAAAGUCUAGUAAGCAUGUAUGUAUGGCUGUGGUAGGAAUUUAAACUCCCAUCAUACAGGAACUCAUCAUGUAAUAUUUUAAAGAUUUUAAAAGAUAAAAUUCUCUAGAAUUCUAGCAUCUCUAGGAACAGAUAAACAGCAGCUCAACCUUCCCAUAUCAUAUCCGUUAAUGACUUAGACUUCAGAUCAAGUACUCUUCCCACAAGUUCAGGUUUAGAGCAUGUUUAAAUUAUAACAGUUAUGCCUAAACUUGAGAGAUAUUUCAAUUUUGAGAACUAGUCAUGGUAGAGCAACUAUUCAUCAUUUCCAUGUGAGAGCUUAUCAUGAGGGUUCAUAGCAAACUUUAUUUAUUUAGCAAACUAAGCAAAGAUAUAUAUAAAAGCACAAAAUCUUUAUUUAGGUUUUUAAUGAUUAUGCAUCUUUUUAUUAUUUGAGUAAAGUAUAAACGCGAGUAGAAACACUUAGCUAGAUAAAUGGGGGUGCGCUCCCCCAAGCUGGAUUUUGACGUAAUUUCUUCUGAUGUAGCUAGCAAGUGACGGAGGUGUAUUUGAAUGUCGGCAGCACCCUGACAGCGAUUAGGAUGUCCUCCGUCUGCUAGUCUUCUUUGAUCUUUGAAUUAUGUGGAGCUCAAAUAGACAACAAAGCUUUGUGGAACUAGUUAAGUGUUAGCAUAAAUAUCUAGCCUUUAUCAUGUUGAGCCUCCUCAAUAAAUGUUAUUUAUUUAGCAGGAUCAUGCACUUAUUAUUUAUAUUUUUAUUGUAAGAUGAAAACAUAUUUAUUUUAUGCCACCACAGUCAAUAUACCUAUGGGUUUUUAAAACACAAGUCUACUCACAUGGGGCUUACUAUUUUUAACAUUUUUAUUUUCUUUUCGAGAUGAUAUGAACCUGAUUAACUAAACAAAAUAAUUGAAGGGAAAAGGAUAACUACCAAGUUUACCUCUUGGUAAGGCGUUCGGUGUUUUUAAGUCCUCCGAACGGGACUCUUCGUUUUCUCAGUCGUCCUGGGAUUCGCUGGGUGGCGUAGUCGGUGAUUCCGGUGGUGCCUCCUCUUCGUGUAUAACUAUCUUCUCCCUCCACACCUGACUCGGUGCUACGUUCUCCUUAGGACAGUUCUGUUCAAGCUGUAUGUCUUCAGACCUUAUCACUUCUCCUUCGUAGUCUACCCAUCCGUCCUUGAUGAUUUGCCUCCUCUGGUCUUGGUUGCGUCGUCUUCUUCUUGUCUUGAGUCUUCAACUAUAUAGUUAAGGUCAGUAAAAUAGCGGUGUACCUUCUCAGAGGGGAAGUGCAUGUGGACUUCUCCGGUUCCAAUAUAGAUGAUGGUUUUGAUAGUGUUGAGGAAUGGUCUUCCAAGGAUGGUGGGUGGAUCAUACUUGUCUUCUCCCAUGUCAAUGACCUAAAAAUCAUCUGGAGCUGAAUAUAUAUUGAUUGUAGGGGCAUGGUUCCAUGCAGGAGCUGAUAAGUGACUGCGGCCAUUAUGUUGUCAUCAGAUCCGGUGUCGUAGAGUGUCUUCUGAAAAGAGUAUCCAUUGAUUGUGCACUCGAUGCUUGGAACACCGGGGUCGUCCGUGUUCAUCCUUUAGGUGCAUCAUUUGAUUAGGUGUGGACCUUGACAUCUGCACUUCUUGAUACGGUGUCACCCAUGUUCUUCGUUUGUCCAGCAGUUCGAGGUGCGGCAUUGGCAGCAUCCUGCUCAGUGUGUUUGUGCUCAUAGAUCUAGGUCCUUCACUUUGUGGAGUCUGGGAGUUGUAAAACUCCUCCAUGUUUUGCUUGAAGCGUACCUAUUCAUAGAGACAAGGCAGAGAUCAAGUGCAUGGGCCCUGUUGGUGGAAAACACCAACAGAACCAAAAGUGUAUUUGUUCUUAUCUAACCUUAAGCAUAGUGAGCAAGACAAAGUUGAUGGAUAAUAAGAUUAUGAGUGUAGCAUUUAAAACAUUUGUCAGAUGAGAUUGCUCAACCUUAUGGAAAGGUAAUCUAUCUAUAUUUAUGUUUUGUUUAUAUCUUCCAAAUAUUGAAUGUACAACAUUUUAGCUUAUAUGAUUAGGAGUGUGGGAUCACGAAGGUAGUACUAAGAACAAAGAUUAAAGGACUAAACAUGCUGAAUUAAUUGGGUUGGUUAAUUUUGAGUUACAAAUCAUACAUGUUUGUCUCUUUAUUUUAUGUGAACGCCAGAACCAAGGAGAAACUUAUAAAAGUGAUAGUCAAGUACCUGAAGAUGUUACCUUACUUGAAGAGUGAUGGUACAAUAUCACCUUGUGGAAGCUUCCCAUUCGUAAUGAGUGUGUAUCUUGUUUAUGUACUUUGUCUCCUUCCAUGGAUCAUCUCUUUAUGAUGAAUGAGCUAUGUCCUUCUUCUGCAAAUUGUUAAACUUUAUGUGUCUCCUUUAUCUCCAAUGAGUUUGUUUCUCAGUACUUCUCAGGUUGAUAUUGAAAGUUUUCCUGCAGGGGUUAGUCCGACAAAAUAUACCAAUGCCUACUCAAGCAGUUUUUAGUUCAGUAAUCAAACUAGACUCCAUGUCUAAUCAGAUCAAGGAAGGCUAUUUAACCUAAACACCACGCUUAAUUUAAAAGCCAAUAGAAGUAUGUACAGUACUUCCAAACUAACACUUACUAAGAUAAACAUAGGUAGCAUGAUGGCUUUUAUAGAGAUCUACUCAAGUGGAGAUGAAGUAGUGUGAUUAGUAUUUAAGAAAUUGAGCAUGUCUCAAAGAUAAGGACAACCAAUAUAGCAACAUGGCAAAUGAUGUUUUUAUGUAAAGUACUCCCCCAAGCUUGAAUUUUGCAAAAUUCAAGUUUGGAUGAAUUUAAUUCAAUGUUGUGUGAUGGUUGGUUGGACAUACCUUGUGCUUGUCAUUCAUCCGAUCUUCUUGCUCCAAUCCUGGAAAGGUUAGUGGCAAGAAUACUCAAAGGAAUAUUUAUAUAAUUAUCUUUAUAUGCUCAAUACACAAGGCAAUGUUGCAAAUAAUUAGAAGUUCAUGUCACAAUCUGAUCCGUGCUUGUUUUAGUACACUAAGCUUGUCCUUGGGAAACCAUCAAUCAACUCAACGAGAUCUGCAAUAUUUAUUAUAGACAUAUGCAUCGACAACCGCUCUUUUAAAGUUUUUAUAAAUAGAAAGGAAGAGAGGGUUGGAGAUCUCAAAUGUGGUGAUAGCACAUGAAUUUUUAAUGCCCUCUAGCCAUUGAUGUUGCUCUUCUCGAUCCUCCUUGUGGUCUUGGUGACUCUUAUGUAUGGGAUGUCUAGAGAGAUUUAUAGGAUCACUGGGAGGUUCAAGAGAAAGAGCAUAGUAGAAAUUAUUAAGCUUAAGGAUGGGUUCGAUAGACGAAUCAUGGGAUUGAAAUGUUUGAAAAUCAGCUAUUGAAACUUCCUUUCCUUGCCAGGGAGAUGAUUCCUUCUCUAUCUCUAGGAAUUUUUUAUGAAGACUAGUGCAAGAAGGAUGUCCACGAAUGAAGACAUACCUUCCUUUACUAAUAGAUAAAGAAAGAAAGACUCUACCAAAGGUUAUAUGAUAAAGACCAAUGUAAAAAUAUUGAGAAAAAAUAUGGUCUUGUAGGGCUAGGUCUAAACCACAAUUUAUAGAAAGAUUAACAGAUUCCUUAGGUGUAGCAAAAAUUGCAUUAUCUUCUUGAUUAAAAGAUAGGACCUCGGCUAUAGAAAAGGGUUGGUUUUGACCUAUUGCAAUCAACUUCGGACACAGAUCAUAAAUAGGGGCAGGACUUGUUGACUCCCAUGGUCUAUGGCUGGUCUCCGAAGGUGCAAAGAAUUCAAUAAUAGGUAUGGAAUUUAAGUUAUCCAUAAAAAUAAAAAGAUAAAAGAAUAAAAGUAUAAAAGUAUAGUACAAGAUAAUAGCAAGACUUAAAGUUAUCUCAGCAAACCGUUUUUCUCCCUGGCAACGGCGCCAGAAAUGCUUGUUGAUAUUUGGUAACGCAAUAAGGAAAUGAUCCGCAAGCGCACGGAUAUCGGUGAGCAUUUCACCCGGGAGGUUUUCCAGAGUAUCGUAUUUAUAUUUUUACCACUGGGAGAAAGGGUGCAUCUGACAAACCAAAUCUAUUGCUACUAUCCCUUUAGGCUACAAAGAAUGUUUCUCGAUGUGAGCGAUGUAUAGAGAAGACUGCAACCGUAGUCUCGUUCUAACCUUGGUAAGGAUGAUCUACUAUUCUAUUGGGGAAGCUUACGGAAUCUAGACACCACAAAGGAUGUUCGACCCGCACCUAUAAACCUACCUGUCCUGCUAACGAGAUGUGGGAUGCAAAGGUAACUUGGAAAUGUCACGUUCCUUGCUACUACCACGGUCCAGCUAGUCAGGGGAUAUCUAUGAGUACCCUAGCCUAAACACCACGUUUACGCUAGCAAUGAUUACUCUAAUACUCAACCGGAAGAGAUUAAAGUAAACUCAUAAACCGAAGAACAAUAAGAACAAGAACUUACUAGAAUUAGAAGUCGAAUUACUGAAGAAUCCUAGGAGCAAGCCUCAGGUUAGAAGACAUGAUCCCGCAGGUACAACCUCGGAGAAGACACCGACAGGCCGGGCUUCCUCCGGUCUACACCUCCACUCUAUCUUUCUCAAUCUAGUAGAAAGUAGAAGAUCUAAUUCUACUCACAUUGGAUGAUAAGCCUAAAAAUAAAUUUUAUUUAGAGGAGAGGUAUUCCUUCGAGGGCACCUCUCAACUCUAUGAAAAACUUGUUCUACUCCAGGGGCCAGGGGUCUGCUUAUGUAGUCCUCCUCCUCUGUGCAUUUUCGGUUCAGCAGGCGAUGUGGUACUAAACUUUCCACCAUAUCUCAUUAAAAUGCACAUAGGCCUUAAUGGACCAAAAUCUGAUUUGGGUCCAAUUAAUCCCGCAGCUCUUUUAUGUGGAGUCCUUCUUUUAUUAAUAUCUCUUGAUUCCGAACUCCAAAUAUAGCAAAUAAUAUAUGCAUUUCGAUCAGCUCGAUGAGAUCUUUGUAACGGUAUACUCCAUUCUGUGAUUGAUGCUUGUACCAGGCCGGGCGCCCAAGGGUAGAGGGCGGGCGCCCUGCCCCCGGGCCCGUUUGGCCUCCCGUUCGUUCCUGUGGCUUCUGGACUCUUCUAGAUGAUAGAAAAUUGCGCGGCACGGUAAUAUCCCUAUGUAGACCUGACGUGUGGACCUUUCCUCCAUAUUUCCUGACAACCCCUGUAGAAAUAAACAAACACCAAAAAUUGCGCGGCACGGUAAUAUCUCUCAAAGUAUGUGGUAUUUUUGGUAUGAGGCAUAGUGAUAUUGCCUUCUCUCUCACUCUACUCUAAUAAGGUUUGAUAUCUGGAGCUCAUAGGUGGGAGACAGCUAAUACAUACUUACAAGACAUUUAUUGCAUAGUCAAACCAUGGAUCCAGAGAAACAAGUCAAUUAGUCAAAUCAAGAUGUGCAUGUGUGGCGAAUGAAUGGUGUAUGGUGAUGAUGGUGAUAAUGGUGAAAGUCUAAUUCUACAUUUGCUCUUUUGAGGGGAUACAUACCUUUCUUGCACUUUGAAGCUUUUUGAGGGGAAUGAGAUGCUCUAUAUUUUCUUUUUCUUUUCUCUCAGGUGGGUAUCUUAUACCCCUAAUUCUACUGUCGGACACUUGUCCAUUUUUACCCCUCGUCUCACUUUUUCCUUUUCUUCGAGGUUCUGGGCACUUGCCCCUUUUUAUUUCCUCGUAUUCACUUUUUUUCUCAGAGCACUCACCCUCCUGGAAUAAUGUAGCAAGUUGUAGUGACCAAAAUAUCUCGAGCAUUUAUUUCACGAGGAAUAACACGGAUAGGAUUAUGUUUUUUGGCUAUUCUCUCCUUGAUAGGUGUAGAAUAAUUUUGGGUGAAUCUGGAGAUGGAAAGGAGUGGAUGUAUGUGGAUGCAUACUUCCGGAGUAGAAGCAGCAUGUAUGAGUGGAAGUGCAAGUGAAUCUUGAUUUUAACCGCAUGACAAGCUCCUAAGGGUCUACACAGCUUGACCACACUCAAUGCUCAUAAGCAGUAAAAAGUAAAUGUAUGGCUCAUAGUCUAAUAAGCAUGUAUAUGUGGCUGUGGUAGGAUUUUAAACUCUCAUCAUACAGGAACUCAUCAUGCAACAUUUUAAAGAUUUUCAAAGAUAAAAUUCUCCAGAAUUCUAGCAUCUCUAGGAAUAGAUAAACAGCAGCUCAACCUUCUCAUAUCAUAUCCGUUAAUGACUUAGACUUUAGAUCAAGUACUCUUCCCACAAGUUCAGGUUUAGAGAAAAUCUUAAUUCAUAACAGUCAUACCUAAACUUGAGAGAGAAUUCAAUUUUGAGAACUAGUCAUGG